GCGGUCGAGGUCGAGGUCUCCGCGGCGCCGGCGCCGGCGGUCGCCGUCCCCCGCGCGGUACCGCGGCCGGAGGGGGCGCAGGGACCGAAGCCGCAGCCCCAUCCGUAGCAGGUCCCCCUAUCGCCCCUCGUAUAGGUGACCAACACAUCUCCCGUCACCUACGCAGAAAUCUGGCAGAGUCUUCGUUUUUUUUUUUUUUUGAGUUUGUACUGUAAAAAAAAUUUGAGGCGAUGCUGAUCGCCUUAGUUCAAAUUUUUGUACUAUAGCUUGUUUGAUGGAAAUGGGGGCUUGGUGCUCUUAUGAUUAUUUGAUCUAUCAACUGUUGGUUGUUGGUGUGACUGUUAGAGGUAGCUAGCGUGGUAGUAUAUUGUGCUAUAUCAUAUUUGAAUUAACUAUGAUUUAUGAAUGUGCAAAUUUCAUGAUACUUCGGAACGAUCAAGAUUUCUGAUUUCAAAAGGGAAAAAAAUGCUUCGGAUUCUUUUGCACUACAGAGUUAAAAUAAAAAUGCUUCGAUGCAGCAUGGAAUAUGUCAGCAGAUGAAUCUUAGAUAUAGUUAUGCCCAUGUUUUGCAUUACUUGCCUGUACAGACUAACAAGAGUUGCUUUCGUAAAACGCAUGGAAUCUACAAAGAUUUUACUCUGUGCUGUAUUGCUGUGGAAUGCUCCACCCCUGUAACAGUGUCUAAGGUAACUGCUUUUGCCCAUGUUUUAGGGCUUCAGGAGAUAAUGGUAAUUCCUUGUCUAUUGCUGUGAAGCUCUCCUAAUUUUAUCCUUACAGUGCUCAUCUUUGCACUGCAGAAGGAGGAGCCCUUCGCCUUCCCCAAGAAGGCGUAAGAGCCGUUCUCUGUCUCCUAGGAGGCGCAAAAGUCCGUCUCCAUCACAAAAGCGUUACAGAAGAAAGAGAAGUCCGAGUGUCACUAGCUCUCCUGUCACUGCAUCUCAAAGUUCCCACCCUGGGUUGGCAGAGAAUAAGAAUGCUAUUGAUACACAAAGGCUAGAAGAAGAAAAGAAAAGGCUUUUACGAAGGAAGCUACUGCUAUAGUUCCACUUGUUAUAUUUGAUGAUGCAAUUGGUGAUCCUUUAUCUACUCUUGAUCAGUUUUGAUAAUUCGUUUUUGGAUCUGGAACACACUAGAGGCGCCAAAAGGAAGUUGAACUGAGACUAUUAGAGGAGGAGACGUCAAAAAGAGUUGAGCAAGCUAUUAGGAGGAAGGUUGAGGACAGUCUGAAUUGUGAUGAAAUUAAGCAUGAAAUACAACGUCGAAUUGAGGAAGGGCGGAAAAGGAUACAUGAGGAGGUAGCAAUCCAGAUUGAGAAAGAAAAGGAGGCGGCUUUAAAUGAAGCCAAACUGAAAGUGGAACGAGAAAAAAAGGAGCGGGAGGAGCUAGAGAAAAAGCUUGAAGAAGAACGAAAGAAAGCUGAAGAGGCAUUGAUGAAAGAAGCGAUGGAACAGCAGCAGAAAGAGCUAGAGCGGUAUCAGGAGUUGGAGAGGCUUCAGAAAGAAAGAGAGGAGGCCAUGAAGCGGAAAAAAAUGGAGGAAGAGCAGCAGAGGCAAAACCAGAUGAAGCUGCUGGGCAAGAACAAGUCGCGGCCUAAGCUGUCAUUUGCUUUUGGGAUGAAGUAGCGUUCGAUUCACCGAACGAAAUUACUAGUGUUUUAGUUGUCUGUAACCUCGUAUCUCUGUAUCGAACCACCCAUGUCUUCCAUCGGCAGAAAAAUCGAUAUGUGUUAAAUGCUCCUGAUCUGCUUUGUAAUUGUCCAUCUUUUGGUGAAUGUGGUUUCAUAGGGAA